CAAUUACUUUUUCGUCUACCAAAGCGACCUGAUACAUUUUGAAAAUUGCUACGUUAUUUGUUAUUUUUUUGCCGCUGUGUGCGUACUCGAGUAGCUUCUUUGCCAGUUGAUGGACCUCUGAACUUCCAAGGAGUAAUUCAGCUAGUUUCUUCGUUUUGUUAAGCUUAUAACGAGCUGGUACUUUGUCGAAAUUUGGCUCUUGUUUAAUUUCCAAUAAUUUAUCGUCCGAGUUAAUCAGUGUUAAGUUGAAGUCCUCCGAUCCAAGUACAUUAUCGUCAAAACCAAUGUUUGUGCAAAUAAUGCAAUCCUGGACGUUCUGUUCUUCAGAUUCAUUGGCAAUUUCGUUGCGGUAGGAACGGAAAUAUUUUUGCAAACUAAAAUCGCCGUUGGUUUCGUUGAGUAGAUCACUGGCUUUGAUUCUUAUUUGAUCGUCGUGCUUGUGUUUGGCUUGUAAGUAUCGAUAGCGAUAUUCACCUCGAAGAGCGUCUUGAUAAUGGAAAACGAGAUCAUCGAAUUUGCCGCCCUGUCCGGGCAUUUCUGUGCUCAAUUGGAAUUUGUACUUCGAGGUGAUCCCUCUAACUAAAAAUAACAUCAGCAACUUGAGUUGAAAGAUAUCACCGUGCAUUGAGCCUCUUAUGCCAGUUCCUGAUGGGUUUUCGGAUAUAGCUGGGAGUGUUGCAUCAUUUGCGGAGCUGUUGCUCGGAAUUUGACGUGGUUUCUUUCUAGCAGUUGGUGCUUCAUUCGCAGCUUCAGCCGAGACGAUGGAGAAUGCGAAGAGACUGGAGUUUUUUAAAAUAUCUAAAUUCAACGUGAUAAGAUUUCAUAUCUGAUUUCAGCGACAUGAUAAGAUUACCGACGACAAAGGCAGGGUAAAAGAGAAUGCAGCGUUUGUCUGGUCCAUAUUGGCAUAUCGUUGCGGUUUUCUCAGUUUCAUUACCGGUAUAGGCAUCAAUUGCAUAAAAAGAAAGCAUGGGAAAUCCUCGAGGCAGUGCAUUCAAGUGGGGAGCAGCCUGUAUACUAAAUGGAC